rnacentral:rRNA from 1 species
AGAGUUUGAUCCUGGCUCAGGACGAACGCUGGCGGCGUGCCUAACACAUGCAAGUCGAACGGUCUAAUGCUUAACACUGAGUGUUCAGUAUAAGUUUGGGGCAGCGAGAGCGCGAAGAAUGAGUGCUCCAUGCAUUCAAUAAGUACCAACACACUAUAACGAAGCUGAAUGUUGAGUGUUAAGUAUUAGAUAGUGGCGGACGGGUGAGUAACACGUGGGUAACCUACCCAUAAAGCCGGGACAACCCUUGGAAACGAGGGCUAAUACCGGAUAAUCUUAGGUCUUGGCAUCAAGGUUUAAGGAAAGGUGGCCUCUGAAGAUGCUACCGAUUAUGGAUGGACCCGCGUCUGAUUAGCUAGUUGGUGGGGUAAAGGCCUACCAAGGCGACGAUCAGUAGCCGGCCUGAGAGGGUGAACGGCCACACUGGGAUUGAGACACGGCCCAGACUCCUACGGGAGGCAGCAGUGGGGAAUUGUUCGCAAUGGGCGCAAGCCUGACGACGCAACGCCGCGUGGAGGAUGAAGAUCUUCGGGUCGUAAACUCCUGUCGACCGGGACGAACUUCUCGCGAGCUA